rnacentral:rRNA from 1 species
UACGGAGGAUGCAAGCGUUAUCCGGAAUGAUUGGGCGUAAAGCGUCCGCAGGUGGCUGUGUAAGUCUGCUGUUAAAGAGUGAGGCUCAACCUCAUAAGAGCAGUGGAAACUACAUGGCUAGAGUGCGUUCGGGGCAGAGGGAAUUCCUGGUGUAGCGGUGAAAUGCGUAGAGAUCAGGAAGAACAUCGGUGGCGAAGGCGCUCUGCUGGACCAUAACUGACACUCAGGGACGAAAGCUAGGGGAGCGAAUGGG